CUUACACAUGCAAGUCGAACGGCAGCACGGGGGCAACCCUGGUGGCGAGUGGCGAACGGGUGAGUAAUACAUCGGAACGUGCCUAGUAGUGGGGGAUAGCCCGGCGAAAGCCGGAUUAAUACCGCAUACGACCUACGGGUGAAAGCGGGGGAUCGCAAGACCUCGCGCUAUUGGAGCGGCCGAUGGCAGAUUAGGUUGUUGGUGGGGUAAAGGCCUACCAAGCCUGCGAUCUGUAGCUGGUCUGAGAGGACGACCAGCCACACUGGGACUGAGACACGGCCCAGACUCCUACGGGAGGCAGCAGUGGGGAAUUUUGGACAAUGGGGGCAACCCUGAUCCAGCCAUGCCGCGUGCGGGAAGAAGGCCUUCGGGUUGUAAACCGCUUUUGUCGGGGAAGAAACGCUCUUGGCUAACACCUGGGAGUAAUGACGGUACCCGAAGAAUAAGCACCGGCUAACUACGUGCCAGCAGCCGCGGUAAUACGUAGGGUGCAAGCGUUAAUCGGAAUUACUGGGCGUAAAGCGUGCGCAGGCGGUCGUGCAAGACAGAUGUGAAAUCCCCGGGCUUAACCUGGGAACUGCAUUUGUGACUGCACGACUGGAGUGCGGCAGAGGGGGAUGGAAUUCCGCGUGUAGCAGUGAAAUGCGUAGAUAUGCGGAGGAACACCGAUGGCGAAGGCAAUCCCCUGGGCCUGCACUGACGCUCAUGCACGAAAGCGUGGGGAGCAAACAGGAUUAGAUACCCUGGUAGUCCACGCCCUAAACGAUGUCAACUGGUUGUUGGGAAGGUUCCUUCUCAGUAACGUAGCUAACGCGUGAAGUUGACCGCCUGGGGAGUACGGCCGCAAGGUUGAAACUCAAAUGAAUUGACGGGG
rnacentral:rRNA from 1 species